UGCAGGACUUGCGGCUCUCUAGGACCGAACUUGCCUACCCCUGGCCUAAACCAAGGGUCUUCUUCAACUGGGGGUCCGCAGCGGCACUGCACUGCAGGGAGUCCGCCAAUUAAUGUUUGAUUAAACAUUAAUCAAACAAAAUUAAAACAUGGGUUAAAAAAAACAUCACAAAGUCCGUUUUAAAUAAGCACCCUGAAACGAAAGCAUGGAAGAGCACCUUCAGUUGAUACUGUAAUGAACUAAUAUUAUUGGCGAAACAGAUUUAGCAAACGCUCCAUAGUGUUUCUGAGUUUGAGAGAUGCAGCCAAUCAGAGAUGUUUGUUGAUCUCUUGAACGCAAUGGCUACUCAGAAGUGUGUACACCUGCAACGCCGAAGUUUUGUUCAGUGUUGAGUUAUGCUCGCAACAGCGAAUCAUUAACAAAGAACGACGAGAUGCGCAGCAGAUCAUGUGCUACACAACUUCGGACCGUACGAAGUCGCCGAGAUGAGGACAUGCAGAGUCCAAUGAUGCUUCUGAGGAAGUGCGUUGCUCUUUGAAGUGAGGAAGGAAGGUCAGCAGUGUGGUUGAAUCAAGCAGGAGUGGUUAACGCACACUGGAUUGAGUCGCAGGGUUCAGUUCUGGAAAGAGUGGCUCAAGCACCUCUUUCAUUGCUGAGAGAAAUAAUGUGCGGUCGGAGAAUAAUCUGACACAGAUAGGGUGAUGAAUUCUGCAGAGUCAGUAAAAGCAAAGUGAUGCUGAAAAACACAUCUGUGCCGAUCUUGGACCACACUUCAAAGGCACAUGCUUCUCCUGAGGCAGCUGUAUGUAGCAAGCACUUUUAAUUUAUUCCUCUGGGCUGAAGUACUUUUUGUUGUUGUCU
rnacentral:lncRNA from 1 species